rnacentral:rRNA from 1 species
UGCCUUAGGCAUGCAAGUCGAACGGUGGUAGCAAUACCGCAGUGGCGGAAGGGUGAGUAACGCGUGGGAACGUACCAUUUGGUGGAGCAUAGCCUUCCGAAAGGAGGGGUAAUUCUCCGUAAUCUGGCAACAGAAUAGGGCUUAAUCGCCCGCCGAAUGAGCGGCCUACGUCCUAUCAGCUUGUUGGUGGGGUAAAAGCCUACCAAGGCUAUGACGGGUAGCUGGACUGAGAGGUCGGCCAGCCACAAUGGAACUGAGAUACGGUCCAUACACCUACGGGUGGCAGCAACCGGGAAUUUUGAACAAUGGGCGAAAGCCUGAUUCAGCGACGCCGCGUGGGGGAAGAAGGCCUUCGGGUUGUAAACUCC